rnacentral:misc_RNA from 1 species
GAGUUUAAGAAGCGAUUCCAUAAUAUUACAAUUGAAGGUUCCAUAAAGGAUCAUUUUAUGCAAAAUGUUCAAUAUAAUACAAGGCUAUGUUAUGUGAAGCAAGAUCCUGUGAGGAGAAACAAAAUAAUAUUCCAAAAUCUAUUUGGGAGAGCUGGAAACCUCACUAUGAUACUGAGAGUUUUAAGGCUAAAUCUGCACAAUGUUCCAAAAAUCGACUCAGUGAGAAAUGUGGUGAAGGAUCUGGUUCCUCG